AGCCCAGACGCACCAGGAGCCGGGUGAACCAUUCUGGGCUGUCAAAACACAAGGCGCCGUGCUCAAUCCCAAUAACUCGAGUGAUGAUUAAUGAGCGGCUUGAUCAUUUAAUAUCUCAUGUGAUUAAAUUAUAAGGCGUGGGGGAGGGGAGCUCCGCACACUCCCGACCGGUGGGGGACACGGAUCAGCCAGCGAGUACCGGCAGCGCUCGAGCCGCGCACUCCUGCUUCGAACAUCGCCUGGUGUGGCUCCGCCACCGUGGGUCGGCGCCUUCUCAAGGUUAUCUGCUGACUCAAUGAUGCCGAGAUACUAAGGAUUCCUAAAGUUUCGAAAGGAGAGUUAGUUUUAUUCUCUUAUCCCCAAGAUCACUUCAGUUUGAUGAUGUUUGAGAUCUACCGUUUGAGAUCUGCAGAACAGCCGUCCAAAUCGGUGGUGCAAUCAGCGGCAUUGUUCUGCAGGACUUGCAGUUAGAGCCAGUUGGGGAUCUACGACCCCAAGAGUCCGUCCGCCUAGAUGGCAGAGGGGGAAGCUGCAUUGGGGCAUCAGCGCCUGGCGGAGUGGGAGAGCCCAGAAGACCAGAAGCCCGCAGAGAACGUCAGUUCACUGCAUAAACUGAAGGCAGGAUCCCGGAGCUCUCCCUGAUGCACCCCCAUUGCCCGCAGGAGCAAGAAGGAGCCUUUUGCAGGAGCAAGAAG